rnacentral:rRNA from 1 species
UACAGAGGUCUCAAGCGUUGUUCGGAUUCAUUGGGCGUAAAGGGUGCGUAGGUGGCGCCGUAAGUCAGGUGUGAAAUCUCGGGGCUCAACCCCGAAACUGCACUUGAUACUGCGAUGCUCGAGUACUGGAGAGGAGAUUGGAAUUUACGGUGUAGCAGUGAAAUGCGUAGAUAUCGUAAGGAAGACCAGUGGCGAAGACGAAUCUCUGGACAGUUACUGACACUGAGGCACGAAGGCCAGGGGAGCAAACGGG